UUGGCAAUUGCUAGUUAUUGUUCCUGAUCGUUCUCUUGUAGUUCUCUUAUGUUCCUUGCAUAAGAAAGCUAACACAUUGUCCAUCAAAAAUAUAUUAGAGGCGUAAGUUUUCCUUUCUAUUUUGAUUCCUUCUUACAUUAUUAUUAUUAUGAUGUAUUGAAUGUCUACCUUUUGUAGGUCUUUGGAAGCUUAUUCAAGGUUGCAGGGUGUUCCAUCUGUCUCUAGGAAGAACAUGCAAAUAACCACACCUAAUACAUUGAAGACAUUAGAAGGAAUUGGGCUUCUUUUAUUUUAAGUGUUAGUAGAAACUUAGCUACACUUCAAUAGUGUAGGUACAUUAAUGUAAUAUUUGGAUUUAAUAUAUAGUUUUAUGUAUAAAUGAUGUAUUAAAUA
rnacentral:sRNA from 1 species